CCUAGAGUUGUAGGCUUUGCCUGCUAUCUCUUACCCAUGUCUUUUGAGUACCUUACGUUUCCUCGGUGGGUUCGCCCACCGAUUGGACAAAUUCAAACCCUUUGCAGUUGAAAUCAGCGUCUGAAAAACUUAAUAGUUA
rnacentral:misc_RNA from 1 species